UACGGAGGAUGCGAGCGUUAUCCGGAUUUAUUGGGUUUAAAGGGUGCGUAGGCGGAAUGCCAAGUCAGCGGUAAAAUCGCGGGGCUCAACCUCGCUCCGCCGUUGAAACUGGCGUUCUUGAGUGGGCGAGAAGUAUGCGGAAUGCGUGGUGUAGCGGUGAAAUGCAUAGAUAUCACGCAGAACUCCGAUUGCGAAGGCAGCAUACCGGCGCCCAACUGACGCUGAAGCACG
rnacentral:rRNA from 1 species